AGUGACAAGUCGAGCGGAACGAGAAGUAGCUUGCUACUUCGGCGUCGAGCGGCGGACGGGUGAGUAAUGCCUAGGAAGUUGCCCAGUAGAGGGGGAUAACCAUUGGAAACGAUGGCUAAUACCGCAUAAUCUCUUUGGAGCAAAGCAGGGGACCUUCGGGCCUUGUGCUAUUGGAUACGCCUAGGUGGGAUUAGCUAGUUGGUGAGGUAAUGGCUCACCAAGGCGACGAUCCCUAGCUGGUCUGAGAGGAUGAUCAGCCACACUGGAACUGAGACACGGUCCAGACUCCUACGGGAGGCAGCAGUGGGGAAUAUUGCACAAUGGGCGAAAGCCUGAUGCAGCCAUGCCGCGUGUAUGAAGAAGGCCUUCGGGUUGUAAAGUACUUUCAGUCGUGAGGAAGGGGGUAAGUUUAAUACGCUUAUCUCUUGACGUUAGCGACAGAAGAAGCACCGGCUAACUCCGUGCCAGCAGCCGCGGUAAUACGGAGGGUGCGAGCGUUAAUCGGAAUUACUGGGCGUAAAGCGCAUGCAGGUGGUUCGUUAAGUCAGAUGUGAAAGCCCGGGGCUCAACCUCGGAACUGCAUUUGAAACUGGCGGACUA
rnacentral:rRNA from 1 species